UGGUCUUGACAUAGAAAGAACUUUCCAGAGAUGGAUUGGUGCCUGCUUGCAGGAGCUUUCAUACAGGUGCUGCACGGCUGUCGUCAGCUCGUGUCGUGAGAUGUUGGGUUAAGUCCCGCAACGAGCGCAACCCUCGUCGUUAGUUGCUAACAGUUCGGCUGAGAACUCUAACGAGACUGCCUACGCAAGUAGGAGGAAGGUGAGGACGACGUCAAGUCAUCAUGGCCCUUACGACCAGGGCUACACACGUGCUACAAUGGGGUAUACAAAGAGCAGCAAUACGGUGACGUGGAGCGAAUCUCAAAAAUGCCUCCCAGUUCGGAUUGUAGUCUGCAACUCGACUACAUGAAGUUGGAAUCGCUAGUAAUCGUAGAUCAGCUAUGCUACGGUGAAUACGUUACGCGGGUCU
rnacentral:rRNA from 1 species